ensembl:snoRNA
AUUCUUUUGUAGUUCAUCAGUGUGAUAAUUUGGUUUCCCACUCAUGUGAGAUGUGCUUUCCUCAAACCUUCUUACAAAGUCAGCACAUUACCCAUCUGACA